rnacentral:lncRNA from 1 species
UUCCGGUCUCAGGGCCCGCCCUGCUGAGUAGGGCGCCCGCGAGUGUGCCUGUCCCGUGGUGGUUGUGAGGUCGGAGACGGGGUUGCGCGGAAGGAAAGCGGGACGCGAGGGAUGGGUGUGGCUCCGGGCCGGAGCUCGCGGAGAGCGGCGGGGCCCACAGGAGGAGAGCCAUCUUCCGUGAACAUUCUCACAGACUUCUCAUUGUGUGCCCUCAUCCCCUGCUGGGAGGCACAACCAGCAUCACCACCCGCUUGUCUACACAGAAGCAUUGAGCUGCAGAGAGCUUAACCUGGCCCACGAUGACUGAAGACAGAGGAGGACCAGACUACAGUCACAUGCCACCCUCCAGGCAGCUGCUGGAUCAUCGUCCUGCCUUAUUGACUCGAAGAGCUUGUCACAGAUAAACAGGUCACCUCUGGAUCAGGUCUGCUUUAAACAAUAGCUUUCAUCAGCCCCCUCCUAAGCCUGAGAGACAUGGCCUGGCCACCUCUGGUUUUGCUCUGACCCAUCGGAUUGAAGCUGAGCAGACGUCGAGGUUUGACAGAUCCUACUUCGGGGGCUGCAGUGAGCUCAGAAAAGCAUGCAUCCUCUCUCCAACCUAGGACCACCAGUCUCUUAACAGGCGUGUCCGAUCUGAUGGCUGCAUACACCCCUAAAUGACUAUCAGUAUUUCCCCCAGCUGGCGAUGAAGCACGUGGGGAGAUUGCUCUGUGCAUCUUCAGGAUGCUGAGAAGUAAAGAAGUUGACUUUGGGGGCAUCUCAGUAGCUUAAGGAUUUAAGGUCACCAUGGUGAUGGGCACCAGCCUGAAGUCUCUCGAGUGGGACACAAGCUGAUGGAGAGCGAGCCUGGCUCCUGGGUUCAGGGAGCUGUGUCCUUGGCACAGCAUCCCAGAAGUUCUCCCUAUCUACUGCACCUGCUACUGAAAUCCCUUUGGGAAUUCUCCUUGCCCCGUCCAGGACAAAGUCAUCUAAGAAACUGGGAAGAUUCCAGAGGAACGGGCUCAACUUCAGGCAUGAGAAAGGACCAAAUCUUGGCCCUGACAACUCGGUCAACCAGUACUUCAGCCUCCCUGAACCUCGGUUUUCUAAAUCCGUAAAAUGGGAGGGGUAGUUUGUUUUGUUUUGUUUUGUUUUUCUUUUGCCCCACGGGGUGACUGUGGCGUUGAAGAAGAAUGUCACACUAGAAGGGGAGAAUGGAAAGCCCUUCCUUCAUUAUAAAAGGUCAGCUAAGGGCUGGGGAGGUGGCUCUGUCAGCCAAGUGCUUACCAUGCAAACAUGAUGACCUGAGUUCAAUCCCCAGAGCCCACACUUAACCUCUCAGGAGCAGCGUGUCUUGUCUUCCUGGCACUGGAAGAUCCCUGUGACUUGGUGACUAGCCAGCCUGGCCUACUUGGUGAGACCAUCUCAAGCAACAACGUGAAUGAAUGGCUCCUGAAGAAUGACAUUUGAGGUUGUCCCCUGGCCUAAAUGCAUAUGCAUGUGCACGCUUGUGCACACUGGGUAAAAAUGUCAUUAGGGCUGGCAACGUGGCUCGGUGGGUAACGGCACUUCCUGUCAAAUCCGAUGGCCUGAGUUUGAACCCUGAGAUCCACCUGACAGAGGGAGAGACUCAUCUCCUGCAAAUGAUCUCCCUGGCCUCCACAUAUAUCCACCCCACUACACACAUACAAAUAAAUAAUUUUUUUUGAGACAGGGUUUCUCUGAUAGCCCGGGUUAUCCUGGAACUGGCUUUAUAGACCAGGCUGGCUUUGAACUCAGAGAUCUGCCUACCCUGCCUCUGCCUACCUAGUGGCAGGAUUAAAGGCAUGUACCACCACCAGGCUAAUAAAUGUAAUUUUAAUAA